CGGGGCGUAGCGUAACCUGGUUAGCGCGCCUGCCUUGGGCGCAGGAGGUUGUGAGUUCGAAUCUCACCGCCCCGACCA
rnacentral:tRNA from 1 species